rnacentral:lncRNA from 1 species
UUUAGAGAUGCAAUUAGAUCAAUUAGCCACAGCUACAUAUAAAAGAAAAAAGGUAAACUACCGAGUUAACCCGAGGCUAAUCCUAGAACCCAAAAAAAUCAAGUACCACAACAAGAAGUCCAAAUUAACCAAUUAAACGUAAUUCACACCUUAAGAUCUAGAAAACAAAUAGACAACCAUAUCAAUACACCUGAAGAUUAAGAUGAUCCAUUAUCCAAACCACCUCAUGAGCAAGUGACCAAUC